CUUUCCUCCAGUCUCGGGGCUGCAGGCUGAGCGCGAUGCGCGGAGACCCCCGCGGGGGCGGCGGCGGCCGUGAGCCCCGAUGAGGCCCGAGCGUCCCCGGCCGCGCGGCAGCGCCCCCGGCCCGAUGGAGACCCCGCCGUGGGACCCAGCCCGCAACGACUCGCUGCCGCCCACGCUGACCCCGGCCGUGCCCCCCUACGUGAAGCUUGGCCUCACCGUCGUCUACACCGUGUUCUACGCGCUGCUCUUCGUGUUCAUCUACGUGCAGCUCUGGCUGGUGCUGCGUUACCGCCACAAGCGGCUCAGCUACCAGAGCGUCUUCCUCUUUCUCUGCCUCUUCUGGGCCUCCCUGCGGACCGUCCUCUUCUCCUUCUACUUCAAAGACUUCGUGGCGGCCAAUUCGCUCAGCCCCUUCGUCUUCUGGCUGCUCUACUGCUUCCCUGUGUGCCUGCAGUUUUUCACCCUCACGCUGAUGAACUUGUACUUCACGCAGGGCUCCUCCGUGUGUCAAGUGACUGCCAUCGGUGUCACCGUGAUACUGCUUUACACCUCUCGGGCCUGCUACAACCUGUUCAUCCUGUCAUUUUCUCAGAACAAGAGCGUCCAUUCCUUUGAUUAUGACUGGUACAAUGUAUCAGACCAGGUCAGUGGGGGCGCUGAGGAGGUGUCACCUGACCAGGGACUCUUGGUAUCCUCGAGGCAUUGGUUCCAGGACCCCAGAAAAUACCAAAAUCUGGAUGCUCAAGUCCCUGAUAUAAAAUGGUGUAGUAUCUGCAUAUAACCUACACGCAUCCUUCUGUAUA
rnacentral:sRNA from 1 species